rnacentral:lncRNA from 1 species
UUCAUUGUUUUGAACUUCUAAAUACUUGUGAUUGACAUUUUCAACUUUAGUUUCAAGUAACAAUACAAUAAAUAUUGAAUAAUCAAUUCUAGGUACAAUAAUAUAUUGAAUAACAAAUUCAAAAAGAAAGACAAAUAUUAUUUAACAUUUGGAUGAAUGACAAUAACAUAAGCCUCUUCCGGCAUUGAAUUAUCUCACAAUUGCUUCAAAUCCAACAAUGCAGAGAAUCCAUCUUAUGCUGCACAUACACAUAUAUAUGAAUCGAAACAUAGAUCCUUAAUUAAGUCCUGUCACACCCGAAAGUGUCACGCCAUUCAAGCAUUUUAAGAGUAGCCGCGUAAUGUG